rnacentral:lncRNA from 1 species
AGCCUACUACGUGCAGAGGCUUGUCCGAGGGGCCGGGAAUGGAGAGCGGGGCCAUGAGGGACACGGGUCCCCGAAGAGAGAAGAAAGACCAGUCUAUUGCAGAGCAACGCCAAGGGCCGAGACAGAAGUGGUACUUGCCCUACAGGGUCUUUCUACUGCCUCUCCUUCCUCCUGUUGUAAAUUCAAAUUUCCAGGAAAUCCAAAAGGAUACAGUGAGCCAACAGCUACUUUGUCUCCUCCAAGGGAAAACAAAUUGGUUUCCAUCACUGGCCAGCAGAGCCAGUUUACAGGACCAGGAUGAUAUCCAUAGUGUGCAUCUCUACAACCACCGCAGAACACCUCUCACUAAUUUUCACAAGGAUCCUCAACUUUUUCUUUCAUUUUCCAUUUGAUCUCCUGGAUGAUGCUUCUGUUUGAAAAUAUAGGUAAAAAUAUUAAGCAUUAAUCCAUCUAUUAAAUAUUUACUAUGUACUAGGCACCAUGCUAAACAUUUUAUUUAAACAUAGCAAUAGUAACAAACACCUGCAAUUAAUCACACUCUCUUAGGGAAGUGGAAGAAGGAAGACCACACUGUCACCUACUAGAUUUGGUUAGCAACUGUGUCAUAUUCCUAUGGUAUCUGUAUAAUACUUUACUUUGAACACUUUAUGGUAUACACUUAAUACAUUUUGAAUGUAUGUUUCUCUUAUAUUUUCCAUUUAUUUUAAAAGGGACCUCCAUUCUGUAAACUGACCUGGUUCAAAUAAAAUUGAAAGACAUUUUUUAUCGUUAUCUUUUGUCACCCAGCAUCAGCAUCAUUACAUUCAAUCUAGUUCAGUUUACUUUACCUCUGAAAUGCCUUAAUUCUCAUCACUUUUCUGACAGAGAUGAGUAGUUGCUCCUUUGUUUCUGCUUCCCCCUUGCUUCUCAGUAACAGUCCUUGAUUUUUAACUGAACAUUUGUCCAUUAAAAAGACUGCUUUCCCAGCCUUCUUGUGGUUAGAUGUGACUAUGCAGCCAAGUUCUCACCAGUAAGCUGAGUUCAAGUGUUAUUUGAGGAAAGCGCCCUUAACAGGUAUGAACAGACCCUUUUGCUUCCUUCCUUCCCCUUUCCACUGCUUUGAACGUGGACACUAUGCCUGGAACUCAAACAGCCAGCUUAGUACAUAUAAAUAAAUAUAUCC